rnacentral:rRNA from 1 species
UACGUAGGUGACAAGCGUUGUCCGGAUUUACUGGGCGUAAAGAGCGCGCAGGCGGUCGUUCAAGUCGAGUGUGAAAGCCCCCGGCUCAACUGGGGAGGGUCACUCGAUACUGAUCGACUCGAAGGCAGGAGAGGGUAGUGGAAUUCCCGGUGUAGUGGUGAAAUGCGUAGAUAUCGGGAGGAACACCAGUGGCGAAGGCGGCUCUCUGGGCCUUACCUGACGCUGAGACGCGAAAGCGUGGGGAGCGAACCGG